rnacentral:tRNA from 1 species
GCAGAUAUGGCGAAACUGGUAUACGCGCUAUCUUCAGACGGUAGUGGUUAUAAACCGUGUGGGUUCAAAUCCCACUAUCUGCACCA